rnacentral:rRNA from 1 species
UACGUAGGGUGCGAGCGUUGUCCGGAAUUAUUGGGCGUAAAGAGCUCGUAGGCGGUGUGUCACGUCGGCCGUGAAAACCUGCAGCUUAACUGUGGGCGUGCGGUCGAUACGGGCAUCACUGGAGUUCGGCAGGGGAGACUGGAAUUCCUGGUGUAGCGGUGAAAUGCGCAGAUAGUCAGGAGGAACACCGGUGGCGAAGGCGGGUCUCUGGGC